CUGCCCACCAUCCCCAGCUCACAGCAAAGCAGACACCUGAAGCAGACGCAGCUCCUCAAAAGCAGAACGCCAAAAGAUGCUGGGGCAGGCGCCAUGGGAAAGGCUGUCUCCUUCUGGCCCUGCCGUCCUGCUGCUGGCACUCUGUGAGUUGGGGCAUUGCUGGGUGUGGGGGCUGAGGGCUGGAGGGCUGCUGCUGGGAGCAGGACAGGGCUCUGGUGAGCACAGGAGAUGAUAGGGGCAGUGUGUGCAGGGCAGGUGUGCAGCACUGUGGGGCAGAAAAUCUGUAGGUCAUGACCCCUCUAAGCAAAGCCCUAUCUUCCCCUUGCUGCAAAUACUGGAGUGACCACCCAGGACAUCUGCAGCUCUCCAGGAUUUCGGGAGCAUGGAGGUGGGUCACGAAAAUGACCGUGUCCUGGGGAAAUAGAUGGGAAGAGAGAAGGGGAUUAUUCCCUCGCAGUUCCCCCUGUGAAACCCUGGGAGAGCAGAUUUUUCCAGCCUUGGCAUGCAGUUGGUUUUGCCACCUGGCCAUCACUAAUGCUUGCCUGAGGAAUCCGUGUGCCUUCCCUCCAGGUAACAACCAGGCUCCAGUCCUGUACCUCAAUGCUUCCAGAGCCCAGGAGGGGGAAAUAGUGCUGCUUCAAUGUAACAUUGAUGAGCAGUUUCCUGCUACGCGAGUUGUCUUCUGCAAGAAUGGGCUGGAGGAGUUCAUCCUGAAAGCCCAGCAGGGCAGGCUCAUCUACACCCUGGUCAUGAACAUCACCUCGAGAAGUGCUGGGACGUACACGUGUGGGUACCAGCAAAAGAACAAGGAAAACUGGGUGAGGAACUCUGCUCUCAGUGCUCCCUGGACCUUGUCUGUGGCAGGCAGCAGCCCCUCACACAAGGCCCAGCUCCCUUCUAGAGGGUCAGCCAUGCCCCUGGAGGUCUGGAUCCUGCGCUCUGCCCUCAGCCUGCUCCUGCUGCUGUCUGCCCCCAUCAUCACCCUCCUACUGGAGAGAUGGAGCCAUGGUGCCAGCAGGGCCAGGCAGCCUGGAGACGUCCCUGUCCCCAUGGAGCUCUGAUGUCCCCCUGAGCUCCAUGCUGUCCCCAGUCUGCUCCCUCAUGCUCAGGGCAUGACCCCCAAACAUUUGCCAGACUCCCGCUGCCGUGGGGUUCAAGGCAGCCAGGGCAGCAUGCCCAAGGGAGAAGCACAUGCUCUCUCCCCCAUCAAGGAUUGUCACUGCAUCGUGCACCCUCCUUGCUGCGUUCAACACCUGCACCCACAUGGCUGCCCCUCCUACUCACAGAAUCACACCUUCAUCAAGGGAUCCACCUCUGCAUACCAGGAGAACACAAGGGGAAGGAGUCACGGCUGCACCCACAGGCAGCCAUGCUCUGCAGCGCCUGCAUCACUCCGGCACCUCCCUGUGCCCAAGGUGCCGACCGCAAUGGGCACAUCCCCAGGUGGUUAUGGUGCCCUGUGUGGAGGCACUUGGUGGGUAUUGGUCCUGUGGGAGGUGAGUUAUAAAAGAUUGGCUCAGAAUGCACCAGCUGAUGUUGCUGCUCUAUAUUUGAGAGGGAAGCCAGUGAGCAGAGCUGGGAGAGCUCCUCUUUGACUGCUGUGUGGGGCCAUGUGUCUUGAAAGGGAGCUCCUGUUCUCUGCGCCCUGCCACCCAAGAGUUCCCCUACCUGAUGGCAUUGCCCUGGAAGAUGUGUCAUGGAAAACUGCCUGAGAUCUGAGGAUGGCUGAGGCCAUGCAGACGACCAGGGGGUGGCCAUGCCUGGAACACUGCACCCCAUGCCCACCCAUCCCUGUUCUCAGUCUUCUGUCUCUCAACGCGCCAUCCCCAGGAGACAACCCUGAGCAGGGACGUUGUGCACGGGGGCAUCCAGGUGUGGGCCAGGUGGGGAUGGGGUCUCAGCAUGGCUGGCCCCCACACCCGCAGACCAUCCACAGCCUUGCACCAUGGAGUUUUAGCCAUCCCACACCAAUACCUGGAAGGAGACAAGGUGUCCCUUCUCUGCAGCUCCCAGUGCUGACAUCUGGGGCCUUGGUGUGCAGUGGGGAACUCUGGGAUAAGA
rnacentral:lncRNA from 1 species